CCGGUCUUGUGCUUGGAGUCGCCAUUUUGCCGCUAGAGAUGCUGUCUGAAGACCAGUGCUCUCUUCCUUCAGCGGCGUAGGCUGCGUCGGGGCCUGAGCUGGGGUCUGGGCCAGCUUCUUUGAGGACAAGCUGAUGAUCGUUGAAUGAGAAAAGAGAAAACAGAAAGAGGAGACACCAGGCUUUUGUCCUGAGUCCUGCCUGUAUACAAG
rnacentral:lncRNA from 1 species